AACCUGGUUGGGUGGUCUGCCUUCACGGUACGUACUGCUUGGCCGGGUUCUACCUCUUGGUGAGCCAGCAUGCCCUUCACUGGGUGUGUCGGGGAACCAGGACUUUUACCUUGAGAAAAUUAGAGUGUUCAAAGCAGGCCUUUGCCCGAAUACAUUAGCAUGGCAUAAUAAAAUAGGACU
rnacentral:rRNA from 1 species